GAAGUUACAUCCCUGAGCUAAUGCCCUGCCGUGGCGGCCUCUGGCUCCAGCCACCCUCUUUUGGGUGACAUUUCAGUUAGAAUUUAGCUCCAAGUCAUGGAGAGCAAAUGUUGAAAACAAACCAGGCACUCCUGACAAAUCCCUAGAAAUGAGCUAUGUCUGAGACACAACCGCCACAAGGGUGAAGCAGAAUCCAGGCCCCUGGACUGGCCGG
rnacentral:lncRNA from 1 species